rnacentral:sRNA from 1 species
CAUCUGUCACCCAUUGAUCACCAGGGCUGAUCUGGCUGGUGAGGCAGGUG